UACGAAGGGGGCUAGCGUUGUUCGGAUUUACUGGGCGUAAAGCGCACGUAGGCGGAUUGUUAAGUGAGAGGUGAAAUCCCGGAGCUCAACUCCGGAACUGCCUUUCAUACUGGCAAUCUAGAGUCCGGAAGAGGUGAGUGGAACUCCUAGUGUAGAGGUGGAAUUCGUAGAUAUUAGGAAGAACACCAGUGGCGAAGGCGGCUUACUGGUCCGGAACUGACGCUGAGGUGCGAAAGCGUGGGG
rnacentral:rRNA from 1 species